rnacentral:rRNA from 1 species
AUGAUAGGAUCCAGAGUCAAUUCAUGGGCGUUGUCGACCGCGGGAGACGUGUCACCACCUAUGCAAAUACCACAACCGCCACGAGAGGUGCACAAACAUCCAAAUGCACAUGAUCAGGUUAAUGUUUCUAUACCACCAUUUAAUGGUCGUUUUAGACCUGCUUUAUAUAUUGAAUGGGAGUUCGACAUAAAUCAUAUAUUUGCUUCCCAUAAUUUUGAUGAAUGUAAAAAAGUUAAGGUUGCGGUUGGUUCUUUCACUGGUUAUGCUUUAGUUUGGUGGAGUGAAUAUUAUCGGUUACACCCUAAUGAUAUACCUUCUACUUGGGAUGAUUUGAAUUUUGCCAUGCGACAAACAUUCGUUCGCCCUUAUUAUACUCGUGACAUGAUUAAAAAGUUGCAACAUUUAAAACAAGGUAGUGACACCGUAACAAAAUAUUAUGAUGCUUUACAAACUACCUUGUUGCAUUCCUCUUUAGAAGAAAGUGAGGAAGAUUUUAUGGAUAGAUUUUGGGGAGGAUUAAACCGUGAUAUUCAGGAGAUACUAAUUCAUGAAGAGUGUUAUCCUAUGGAUCGUUUGUUUCGUCUUGCUUAUAAAGCUGAACAGAAAAUAAAACGACGUGUUGCCCUCAAAGAGAACAAGCACAAGGUGCACAUUCCAAGAGAUGAUACAGUUGUUCCUUCAACUACUAGGUGUGCUAUGAAAACCACAUCCAUUGUUGUGAGGACUACAUCACCUCCAUCAUGUGACAAAGCACCACCGACAGUGCCUACAUCUGAGUUGAUCAUAAGAGGUAAUGACAAAGGUAACGAUCUCCCACCUCCACAUGAGUAUGAUGAAUGCCUUCUCAAUUUCAAUGAACCAUACGAUGAGGUACCCACUACUAUGAUCACACCAGCUAUUUUAGAAGACUAUGUUCAUGAUUUGACUUUGCCAUGUGAUCCAACAAUUUUGAGUGAACCCAUUGAAUUAACUAUUGAUGCGAAAGAACCAUGUGAAUUAGGGAGUAAAUCAGAUUUGGAUCAAAUACGUUUGAAAAUAAUUGUGCCAAUGUUUAAUCAUUUUGAUAUGACCUCUAAUCUUGGUGAUGGUUUAUCAAUGUUGGGAUGGUUUAAUGAUAAGCAUUGUCAAUUUUUUGAUAUGAAUAAGAGCUUCACUUAUAUGUGCAAACUGAGUUGCAAUAUUUUCAUGCCUUUGACUUGUGAUAAUAUAUUGGCUUUAUAUUUCACGACUUUUGAAGGGUGCUCUUGUAUAACUGUGUCACAUGUGCCCCAACUAAGAUCAGUAAAAAUGGAUGACAUAUACAUAUACAACGUGUACACCUUGUCUCUUUUGUUAGCCAGAUUUCAGAUUAAGCAACGCCGAGGACGGCUUUGUUUUCAAGAAUGGGAGGAUGAUGAGGACAUGGCUACCAUAGUUACACCCAUAUCCCCUGCUGUUUUACCUCUUGGAACAGUUGCUAGAGCUCAGAUACGCCAAUUAAAUUAUCAGGUACUUUCGUUUCUUGAUAACGUUUCUAGUGUUCAUGAGAAUAUGAUGCUGCCUAACUUAGAUACAUUUGUGUUGCUUGCAAUUGAAGGGCAUAGCACGGACAAGAAGGUUGAACAUUGGAGCAUGGUGAAGCACGGAGAUGAAGGUGCGUGCUAA